CAGUGUUGACUGUCAAAGUCUGAGAGAGCCCAAUUCCCGGAAGCUGUGAAUUCUGAGAAAAGUUCUUGCCCUUGAGUGCCCGAGUCUGCGAAUCCCCAACUAUGAGCGCCCCGGGCGUACAGUCCUUUACCAAGCAGGGCUGGGACCAGGUGCUGGCCAAAGUGAAACGGGCUCUGGUCUACAUGGACGCCGCCUGCGCCGAGAGCCUGCACUGGGGCUGCGGCUCCACCCGGCUCCUGGAGGCGGUGGGGGGUCCUGCGUGUCACCUGCGGGAGUUCGAGCCCGCAGCAGUUGGUGGCGGAGCUGAGCAACCCAAAGCGGUGUUUGUGCUGAGCUGCCUACUGAAAGGCCGAACCGUGGAGACUCUACGGAACAUCAUCUGCCGCAGCCACUUCCAGUACUGUGUGGUGGUCACGGCGGUGGACCACGCUGUCCACCUCACGGCUAAUCAUGUGCCCGCGGCGGCAGCGGCUGAGCUGGAAGGGCAGCAGCCGGUGUUCGAGCAACUGGAGGAGAAGCUGUGUGAGUGGAUGGGCAACAUGAACUACACCGCCAAGGUGCUGCACAUCCCCUUGUUGCUAGCCCCUGCUGCUCCUCACCUUGCCUUGACUCCAGCAUUUGCUUCCCUUUUUCCACUGCUACCUCAGGACGUGCAUCUUCUUAAUAGUGCCCGACCAGACAAGAGGAGGCUGGGGAGCCUGGCUGAGGUGGAUGCCAAUGCCUUGUCCCCUGAGCUGUUAUUGCAGAUCAGGUGCUUGGUGUCAGGCCUCAGUUCUCUGUGCGAGCAUUUAGGAGUACGGGAGGAGUGUUUUGCUGUAGGUUCCUUCAGUCGGAUCAUUGCUGCAGAUCUGGCUAAUUAUGUCCCUGCCAAGAACAGAAGGAAGACUUCUGCAGGCAGGGCCUCAGUGGUCUUUGUGGACAGAACUCUGGAUCUCACAGGAGCAGUUGGACAUCAUGGAGACAACUUGGUAGAGAAGAUCAUUUCAGUGCUUCCCCAGCUUCCUGGCCACACCAAUGAUGUGAUGGUUAACAUGGUAGAGCUCACUGCACUGCAGAAUGAAGAGGAGAAUCAGAAUAUGGUUGCCCCAGGCUGUCUCGCACAAUCCAACGAUACUGCAGCCAAAGCCCUGUGGGAAGCCUUACUGAACAGCAAGCACAAAGAGGCUGUGAUGGAAGUCCGGAGACAUCUAGUGGAAGCAGCAAGCAGAGAAAACCUGCCAAUCAAGAUGAGUAUGGGGCGAGUCACUCCGGCGCAGCUCACAUCCUAUAUUCAGCUCUUCAAGAACAACCUCAAAGCUCUAGUGAAUCACUGUGGCCUCCUGCAACUUGGGCUGGCCACUGUUCAAACUCUGAAACACCCACAGACUGCCAAAUGGGACAACUUCCUGGCUUUCGAAAGGCUCCUUCUCCAGAGCAUGGGUGAGUCGACGAUGCCUGUUGUGUUAAAUCAGCUGCUGCCCAUGAUUAAGCCUUCGAAUCAGAGGACCAACGAUGAUUACAGCCCAGAAGAGCUGUUGAUCCUCCUAAUAUAUAUUUAUUCUGUCACUGGAGAAUUCACAGAGGACAAAGACCUGGCUGAAACUGAAGAAAAGGUGAAGAAAGCAUUGGCUCAAACCUUUUGUGAGGAGUCUGAGUUGUCACCUUUGCUGCAAAAAAUCACAGCCACAUGUAACAGGAGAGGAAAGGCAGGUCCCAUUCGGAAAGCACCAUUCUUUAAGGACACUGGGAAGGUGUACAAAUUUAUAACACAUCAUUUGUAUAUUCCGUUGUGUACUCACCACCGAAAGUCUAGUCCGAGGAGCUUCUGUCUUAUAAGGAAACACAACUACACAGACACGUUCUCUGAAGAGGUGCCCCCCUGCCUUCCUUUCCUUCUUCAUUUCAUCUCUUUCUUCCGCAUCUUGAUCUCAUUUUCAGAGGGACAAGCCAAAUGCAGUGCUCACGGGGUGAGCAGGGUUUGGAAUGCUUGGUAUGCUAGCUUCCUUCAGAUGCUGUUUACUGCUGGGGUCCAGUCAUGGUGCAGGGAGAUGGCCCCUUAGAGAAUCCUCUGCCGGAAAAGAAGGUGGUUCAAGAUUUUCGUGACAAAAUAUUUGAGAAGGUUAAGAUCAUCAGAGAUACUCCUUGGCUAACGAUGGGGUUACAUCUGCGUAAACCCAUUGUGAGUUGAAAAUUUUGUAAAUUGAAAAUGCAUUUAAUAGGACAUCGUCAAGCAUCGGUUGUUUACCCUCACAUUGCCUGGCUGAGCAGGAGCUGUGGCUUGCCACCACUGUUCAGCAUCAUGAGAGACCGACGACAGUCAGUCAAACAUGGCUAGCCCAGAAAAUGUCAUAGCCAUCAAACAUGGCUAGCCCAGAAAAUGUCAAAAUUCAGAAUUCGAAGUACGAUUUCUUUUGAAUGGGUAUAGCUUUGGAAUCAACAUAAAGUUGAAAAAUGGACAGUAACCAAAAAAGCAAAAUUUGUGACAUCAGAUUUAUUUCUAUGGCAACUGACUGUAAUGUUACAAACAUUGGAUUAUUGACUAGUUCAGGAUGAAGGUUCAGAAAGAUUCUUAUUUGGACGAGAUCAUCCAAAACCAACACCAAGGGGAAUAUUAUCAGAGCGGCAUCCAGCAGCGUAUCCUUUUCAAAAAAAAUGUUCUCAUUAUGCUGAGAACUUUGUUUUUUUGGUGUGUGAGGGUUUUUGUUAUUGUUUAAUGUUUCAUUUUGUUUGUUUGGUUGGUUUAUUUAUGUAUCCUCUUCUUCCCCCAGAGGUGAUUGGGUGCAAAAAUGGUUAUUUUUAGUAAUAGAAGCCCCCUCUCUUAAGAUGCUGUCUUUGCCUUCAUUAAAUUCUUCCUGCAUAAAUGAGUUAUUUUGGAACUUUAGUCAGAAACAUCUGUACUUUGUGCUGGACAAACAUCUGCCUUCCUACUGGAGCUGCCAGUCCUCCUGAUGUUAGAUAAAGCCACUUUGCUCUCUGAAAGCCCCUCAGAGAGGAAAGCAUGUAGAAAAAGUGGCCCACUGAUUCUUUAGCCCAGAGUGCCUCCUUGUGGCCGGAGCAAGUUACUACAGCAAGAAGAUGAAAGGAUCUAAAUUGUUUACCAGUUUGCUCUCCAUUUCCCCCUUUCCAAACUCAUGAAGUUUUUAAAGGCAAAAUGUAUUUUCAUCAACAUAUUAUGUGAUGACGCGGUGUGAAUACAGAGCCUCUGAGAGCAGACAGAGCUUUGCUACCAUCUUGGAAGGUAAGCCAGUGUU